GAGACCUCAGGUCAAGCGGGGCUACCCGCUGAAUU
rnacentral:rRNA from 2 species